CUCUCAGACUUUAAGAAUACUCUAACAAAAGCUGGAAUACAAGCUGAGUUUUGUGGUGGUGCUCUUAUAUGCAAUGGAGUUGUGGCUAUCAAAAGAACUGAAGGUGGAAAGAUCAGUAUUGAAGGCUCAGUCUCUGAUGAUUACUACCUCAUAAGAAAGCUUUUAUAUGAACAAUUUGCAAUUGUGUAAUGCAUUUUUUGUCAAGCUCAAGCACUUUCCUAUUCUCACUAAUCCACCCCAUCUAAAAUAGACAUGGAAGGAUCUCAACCAUAGUAACAUAAAGCUGACUGUUCUUGUUCUAUAGCUCAGUCUUCAGUAGCUAUAAUAUACAUGCACACACACUGGUAAUAAUGCUAAUGCCAUGCAUUGGAGCUCAAUAAUAGAGGUUUUCAUUGUCUUCCAUAUAAGGGCAAGAAUCAUCAUAAUGGUAAAUGAUUCCUGUGUCACUGGGUAAACUCUUUAAUUGGUAGUCAUGGUUUUAUGUCCUUCUCUACAUACAUUAUAGUAAUCUCAUUACCUUAUGGCGGCGACAUAAUAACGUAACACCUGUUAUUUAAUAUGUUGUCGCGUGAUUUCGUUAUCGGAUUACAGGAAUUUAACUUGUAAAAUGAGCAAAAACAAGGCAAGCAUUAGAGUAAGCUGUACUGUAAUUUGAGAAUUAAACGGGAUAGAUCUAUCAUAAUUAAUAACAAAAAAAUGUGGACAUGUUCAUUUGUUUGAUGAUUCAGUGAUAUAAGUGAUUGUAGAAAUCAAAAAGAGCGAGAAAAAGGCACAUGCAUGUACAAAUUUGCAAGAGAGGGAGAGGAGAUGGAGAAAGAGAACCAUUUAACUGGACGAUGAAUCUCCACUUUCAUUCUCAUCAAUCGGCUGAAGAAGUUCAGGAAUGUAGCAAUUAAUUUUUCCAACUGCAGUCAUUGCCUUAGGAUCAUGAAGUGCCUAUAUAAAAAUGACAGUUGCAUUGAUUAACAUUGAGAACUGCUAGAAAAGAUACAAAAAU
rnacentral:lncRNA from 1 species